UACGGGAGGCAGCAGUGGGGAAUAUUCCACAAUGGGGGAAACCCUGAUGGAGCGACGCCGCGUGAGUGAAGAAGGGCUUCGGCUCGUAAAGCUCUUUUAUCCCGGACGAAUGACCUAUUAGAUAGGUAGAGACGGUACGGGGUGAAUAAGCCACGGCUAACUACGUGCCAGCAGCCGCGGUAAU
rnacentral:rRNA from 1 species